GGGGAUAUAGUACAGUGGUAGUACGCUUCAUUUGCAGGUAAAUCACCUAAUAUUGAAGAAGUCUUGGGUUCGAUCCCCAAUAUCUCCA